rnacentral:rRNA from 1 species
AGAGUUUGAUCCUGGCUCAGAACGAACGCUGGCGGCAGGCCUAACACAUGCAAGUCGAACGAUGCCUUCGGGCAUAGUGGCGCACGGGUGAGUAACACGUGGGAACAUACCUUUUGGUGGGGGAUAACUUCGGGAAACUGAAGCUAAUACCGCAUACGCCCCUUGGGGGAAAGAUUUAUCGCCGAAAGAUUGGCCCGCGUCCGAUUAGCUAGUUGGUGAGGUAAUGGCUCACCAAGGCUCCGAUCGGUAGCUGGUCUGAGAGGAUGACCAGCCACACUGGGACUGAGACACGGCCCAGACUCCUACGGGAGGCAGCAGUGGGGAAUAUUGGACAAUGGGCGCAAGCCUGAUCCAGCCAUGCCGCGUGAGUGACGAAGGCCUUAGGGUUGUAAAGCUCUUCACCCACGACGAUGAUGACGG